rfam:Astyanax mexicanus chromosome 2, whole genome shotgun sequence.
GUUGGGUACGGUGACAUGUACCCAGUGACUGUCGGAGGGAAGCUGGUGGGGUCCAUGUGUGCCAUCGCAGGUGUGCUGACCAUUUCAUUGCCUGUUCCGGUCAUCGUGUCUAAC